CAAACUUUUCCCAGCGCGCGCCGGACAACGUAGCGUUUAGUCUCGCGCGCAUGCGGAAGGCUUGAACCGUGUGUGCGUGCGGCGCGCUCUUGCUUGGCUGUUAAGCUGCUUUUGGAAAUAUCUACAGCGAGUGUGACACACACGGCUGUUCAGCUAACACUGGGUGGCGUACCCUCACUGCUAAUCUAACACCUGUGCGAAGGUGACUCGCCACACCCGUCAGGUCCCGUGCUGAAGUUACUGCAGUAUCUGAAGCUAAGUAGCAAACUAGGGCUACUAGUGAUGCUGUUACCAAUACACCUGUAAAGCACUCUGAAGCUGGGAGGAAAGCAUGACAGCACCAUCUGUAUCAGAAAUGCAGGGGAAGCAGAAAUACAACAAGAGAGGCUUUACUUCAAAACAUGUUGUGCAAAAGAAAUGUCUCAAUUCUUCAUGGUACAGAUUCAAGUGAUGUUUCUGAGGUCAGGGGGUAGGGAAUUCCAAAGUUGAGGGGCCGAGCGACUAAAACCCUGCCCCCCAUGGUAAUAAGACGAAAGGAAGGAACAGAAAGAAGAAGAGAAGAGGAGAAUCCGAGGCACCGGGAUGGAAUGGAGAUCUGUACCAAAUCAGAAAAGUAUG